UGCUGGGGAGGGAUGUGGGAAUGGGAUGGGAAGUGUCCGCUUGGUUCCGUGUCGAUGCCAUCCCAGGCCCUUUGGAUUCCCCUCAAGGAGCAGGGAAGUGCCCAAUUCCAAUUCCAGCCUGUCCUGGCAGGAACGGGACACCCCAGGUGUGCCCAGUGUCCCCUCCCAGGUGUCCUCAGUGCCACAUUCCCGGUGUCCCUGGUGCCACAUCCCAGGUUUUUCCUGGUGCCACAUCCCAGGUGUCCUCAGUGCCACAUCCCAGUGUCCCUGGUGCCACAUCCCAGGUUUUUCCUGGUGCCACAUCCCAGGUUUUCCUGGUGCCACAUCCCAGGUGUCCUCAGUGCCACAUCCCGGUGUCCCUGCUGUCCCGUUCCCAGUGUCACAGGGUGCAGAUUAUCCCAUUCCUGCUGUUCCCACUGUCACAGGGUGAAGAUCUGUCCCAUUCCUGCUGUCCAAGGUGCAGAUUAUCCCAUUCCUGCUGUUCCCACUGUCACAGGGUGCAGAUCU